rnacentral:sRNA from 1 species
GCUUCCGCAAAGCCAGGGUGUGACAAGUUAAGCGUGCUUGGGCGAGAGUAGUACUAGGAUGGGUGACCCCCUGGGAAGUCCUCGUGUUGCAACCC